AAACUAAAGUGCUUGGCUGGGAGGAAUCUUGUGUUCUAUCUUCUUGGCCUGUGGGUUUCAUUGUACAAGUCAUUUCAUUUCUGUAGUCUUCAGUUUCCUUGUUUGGAAAAGAGAGGGGGUUGAGUUUGAUGAGAUUUGAAGUCCUUCCUGUUCCUGAACCUGUUCUGAGCAUGCUUCCCCUGGAAUACUAGUAAUUACUAUUUGACAAUGGCACAUCCUACAGAGAAGUGCUUGUCUCUGAAUCUGGGCCCAGAAAACUGACAAAGGAUUACCUUAAUUGUGUCAAUAUAGUUCAACUAAGCUUUCUAAAUAAUUUCUUAUCACAGCAGAUUUCCAGCCACUGUGAGGAUGGUAAACGACAUUCAACUCAUGCUGAGUGGCUGCCUGGAGUCUUGUGCUGAGGGUUGUGAAGCAGGUUCCAGGGAGUGCAAUGAACUCUGAACACUGGCUUUCACUGGUGCGCACGGGUUGCAUCAGACCAUCUGUAAAUUUAGACUUCAUGGAAUAUAUAAUAAACUUGUCUUGUUUUUGUCAAAUUGAAUUAGCUUAUUAUUUAAUAAUAAUAGCAAAAUCUUACUGAGCACAUACUUUGUGUUGGUAGAACAUACUAUAUUCUAUAUGCAUUGAUUCUUUUAAACCUCAUUAUCACCUUAUAAAAUGGUACUCUUAUUACCUCCUUUAUUCAGAUGAGGAAACUGAUCCAUAAAGGUAAAGUAAACUAAACUUAGUUUAGACAACUAAUGUAUCACAGACCAGAGAUUUGAAGCCUGGUAGCUGGGCUACAAGAGUCUGUGUUCCUAACAAUUGACCUAAACUAACCCCACUUUUUUUUUUCUUAAUUCAAGAAUAGUACAUUAUUUAGGAUGCCUUUAGUUGCAAGUAUCACCCUAACCUAAACUGCUGGCAAGAGUAAAAAUAAUUUACUGGUUCACAUAACUAAAAAAACUAGAAAUAGCAGUUGCUUCAGGCAAGGCUUGAUUUAUUGAUUCUAUGAUGUCACUAAGAACUCAGUUUCCUUUAGUCUCAAGACUCUGUUUUCCCAAGAUGGAUGCCAGUCACAUAAGAGGAAAAUGCUUCCUUACUCACAUUCAGCAAGGAAAAGAGUGUGUUGGUCUCAGUAUUUCUUAGAAAAGUCCUGAUUGUCUUCAUGAAUGAGCCAGUUUAAGUUGCUGACUGCCCCAAGUCAGUUACUGUGGUCACAGAGAUAAAAUGCUCUGCUUGGCUUAAGUUAGAUCACCCAUGUGUCCUUGAAACCACAGAGACCCUAAAUGGGGUUCUGAUGAAGCAGAAUAUAGAUAUUCUGAAAGAAGUAAAAGUGUUAGUCUCUCCAUCGUGCCUGACUCUUCGCAAACACCAUGGACUGUAGCCCACCAGGCUCCUCUGUCCAUGGAAUUCUCCUGGCGAGAGUACUGGAGCAGAUUGCCAUUCUCUGCUCCAGAGUAUCUUCCCUACCCAGGGACUGAACUUGGGUGUCCUG
rnacentral:lncRNA from 1 species